rnacentral:snRNA from 1 species
AGCUUUGCUCAGUGGCAGUAUCAUAGACAAUAAGGUUUAUCCAAGGAGCAAUUAUUGCUAAAUGAAAACUUUUCCCAAUACUCCGCCAUGACGACUUGCAAUAAAAUAAUAGCCAAUUUUUAAGAAGCUUUUACUGAGUACCCAAAAGAGC